rnacentral:tRNA from 1 species
GCCUUUGUGGUAUAACAGUAGUACGCUCGGCGCGUAUUCGAGAGGUCCAGGUUCGAAUCCCGGCGAGGGUA